AGAGUUUGAUCCUGGCUCAGAUUGAACGCUGGCGGCAGGCCUAACACAUGCAAGUCGAGCGGAUGAGUGGAGCUUGCUCCAUGAUUCAGCGGCGGACGGGUGAGUAAUGCCUAGGAAUCUGCCUGGUAGUGGGGGACAACGUUUCGAAAGGAACGCUAAUACCGCAUACGUCCUACGGGAGAAAGUGGGGGAUCUUCGGACCUCACGCUAUCAGAUGAGCCUAGGUCGGAUUAGCUAGUUGGUGAGGUAAAGGCUCACCAAGGCGACGAUCCGUAACUGGUCUGAGAGGAUGAUCAGUCACACUGGAACUGAGACACGGUCCAGACUCCUACGGGAGGCAGCAGUGGGGAAUAUUGGACAAUGGGCGAAAGCCUGAUCCAGCCAUGCCGCGUGUGUGAAGAAGGUCUUCGGAUUGUAAAG
rnacentral:rRNA from 1 species